rnacentral:rRNA from 1 species
GAGAUUGAUCCUGGCUCAGGACGAACGCUGGCGGCGUGCCUAACACAUGCAAGUCGAACGGGGAUAUUGAUUUCGGUUGAUAUCCCAGUGGCGAACGGGUGAGUAACGCGUGAGCAACCUGACCUUUUGAGGGGGAUAACACCUGGAAACAAGUGCUAAUACCGCAUAAGACCACGGAGCGGCAUCGUUCAGGGGUCAAAGGAGGAAUCCGCAGAAGGAGGGGCUCGCGUCCCAUUAGAUAGUAGGCGGGGUAACGGCCCACCUAGUCGACGAUGGGUAGCCGAGCUGAGAGGCUGAUCGGCCACACUGGAACUGAGACACGGCCCAGACUCCUACGGGAGGCAGCAGUGGGGGAUAUUGCACAAUGGGGGAAACCCUGAUGCAGCGACGCCGCGUGAGGAAGAAGGUUUUCGGAUUGUAAACUCCUGUCGUUAGGGACGAUAAUGACGGUACCUAACAAGAAAGCACCGGCUAACUACGUGCCAGCCGCCGCGGUAAUAC